AAGGCUAAAUACUCCUGACUGACCGAUAGUGAACCAGUACCGUGAGGGAAAGGCGAAAAGAACCCCGGCGAGGGGAGUGAAAAAGAACCUGAAACCGUGUACGUACAAGCAGUGGGAGCCCCACCACUAAGCCAGUGGUGAACUCCACAUACGCAUCCUUUGCUGAGGAUACGGUUAACGGAGCGAAAGCGACGUUCAACCUCAAAAGAAGCAGAGGGGGCUUAGUGGUGGGGUGACUGCGUACCUUUUGUAUAAUGGGUCAGCGACUUAUAUUCUGUAGCAAGGUUAACCGCAUAGGGGAGCCGGAGGGAAACCGAGUCUUAAUUGGGCGUUAAGUUGCAGGGUAUAGACCCGAAACCCGGUGAUCUAGCCAUGGGCAGGUUGAAGGUUGGGUAACACUAACUGGAGGACCGAACCGACUAAUGUUGAAAAAUUAGCGGAUGACCUGUGGC
rnacentral:rRNA from 3 species